GUCCCUUUGGGGACAGCCGAUAAAAUUGGAACACCACAAAAAAAGAUUAGCAUGGCCUCUGCACAAGAAUAACACGAACAAAUCGAGAAAAGCAUCCAAAUCAU